UUAAUUCUAAUUUAGCUUUAAUCAAGAAUUGGGUGGCAAAAAGAAACCAACCAAAAAACAAACAAAGGGUCUUGAUCCACUUAAAAUAAUUUUAUUUUCCAGACACGGGCUAAUGGUUUGAAGAUAAUGGCCUAGCAAGAUGGCAACGAGCUUAAAAAAUAGGAUUCCUAAGAAGUUACUUUUUUCAGAUGAAAAAAUGCUAGGCACACAGUGCUGCUGUCUGGUUGCCAUGGCGACCACAGCCUAUUAUCCUGCCUUGUCAUUCAUCAAGAAAGAAUUGCACUUGACAGAGGGAGAGGAAAAUGCCUGCAGUCUGCAGCAUAGGAGGAAAAAAAGAUGUGACUGCAGUGGUUGGCACCGGGAUGCUUAGACUCACUGUCUGCUCAAAGACGGAGCAGAUAUACCCACCCAGGCACUCUCCUGCUGCAUACCAGCCUGCUCUACCUGCAACGGUCAUUUUCUAGGACUCCGUACCUCUGCCACAUUGUUUGAAGCUGUGCUUCAAGGAGUCAUGAAAGCAUUUGCUUGGAUCUACUACCCAGCCUACCUAUGGAAUAAGUGGGUCAAGAAAUGCGCCUCUUUUUUUUGUGUAGUGCCUGUUUGUUUUUCAGUUGAGAGGGAAAAGCUUCAGGCAGAUGGGGUAUAGAUGUGAAGACUGGGGACAGCAAAUGAGUGGUCUUUUCCAUUGAGACUUUUCCAUUAAGAGGGUUUGCUGGGGGUUUUAAGCUCUUGAAUAUCAUUGCUAAUUCCAUUCUCUGAGGCACCAGUCCACUAGAUUACCCAGUUGCUCGUGGGAGCUUUCAUGGGGGUUGUAUUUCACACAUGAAAAUAAAUUUUCAUAAUUUAUUAUGAAAUAAUAAAUUUUAGAUUAUGAAUAAUCUAAAUGAUAUAUCUGUUUCUUUAUGGAAUAGACUUAGUUUAGCAAUAAACUAAGAUAGCUGACAUACCUGUAAUUCUCUGGGGAAGGAAAACUGCCACCCACCCUCCAGUCCUACAACAAUUACCCAAAUACUCACAACAUGAAUGGACCAAUUAGUGUUGAAUAUUUUCUAAUAUUUAUUAGCAAGACCCGGACUCAGUGUAAGCAAUUUUGAUACAAACAGAAGGGGAUGAUGAGCCUACACCAUGGUUUAUGGAGCUCAAGAAGGACAGUAAUACAUGGAAAACAAUCUCUAUCAGCCAGUAGGUGAGAAGACACAUAUGAGCAGCGUAGACAAUACAUAGGUGCUGCGGAAGUUGUGAAGAAGGAUCAUGAGUCUCCUAGUUACCAAGUCUCUGAAUUGUGCAGAUAUCCCCAAAUCCCACACCUACUUCACCCCCAUGCAGCCUGCUUCAAAACCCCUCCUGCAGCUCCUCUUUCUUUCUAUUCCUCAUGUCAGCACCUUACUUUAAGUCUUUAUCAACUUAUAUAUUUAAAUACUUAAACUCCUCACUGUGUUCUUACUGGCCUCUCCCCGCCCUGAUUCAUGGUGGUGCGGGGAGCACAAAUUCAGCUUCAAAAAGCACUACUUUAGAACAAACUAAUGGUUACCAGCGGGGAAGGGGUGGGAGGAUGGAGGAAAUAAGGCAUGGGGUUAAAGGGGUGCACUUGUCGUGAGGAGUACCGGGUGUUGUAUGGAAGCGUGGAAUCACUACCCGAUAUAUACACUAUAUGUUAACUAAUUGGAAUUUAAAUACAAACUUUAAUAAUAAAAAAAAACAAAACAGUGCACCUGGGUGGCUCAGUCGGUUAAGCAUCUACCUUUGGCUCAGGUCAUGAUUUCAGGGUCCUGGGACUGAGCCCCAUAUUGGGGCUCCCUGCUCAGUGGGAAGUCUGCUUCUCCCUCUCCGUCUGCCUUUCCCCCAACUCAUGCUCUUUCCCUCUCAAAUAAAUAAAUCAAAUCUUUAAAAAAAUUAAAUAAAAAUUAAAAUUAAAAAACACCACUUUGAUCCUUUU
ensembl:lncRNA